rnacentral:lncRNA from 11 species
UCUGUCGGCCCGUUUACGUUGGAUAAGCGGGACUCUACUGUAAUACCUGCUUUAUUGAUGAAUAGUUUAUUAUUCUAUCACCUCAAAAAUGACAAAACUUUUGUCCAGAGAAAGACAAAGAACAACAUUUUUGGAAAUUUACACCAUUUGAUUUAUUUCCAGCCUUAAGACCCACAAAGGGCCAUAAAGAGCCAGGUGGCUUUACUCUGAGCCAUAAGUUUUACCUCAGAAUAUGUUUUUUCUGUCAUCUGGAUAACUUCUUUUCACUUUAUUCAUGUAUGUUUCCUUAUUAUUUCAGAAAUUUCUUUAUCGAACCUUUACCUCAGAAAAGCCUUGUGAAAUAGAAAGAAGAAAAUGCCAAUUUUAUUUAUUAAGAGAUUGUCACCUCAGACUUUACCUCAGAAAUGGCCAAGCCUUGUGAAACGGAAGGGAGAAACAAAGGCAAAACUUUUGAAAAUUAGCACAGCUUUUUCUGAAGGGACCAGCGCUGAAUUCAAGUCAAAGGGAAGAAAGGGAAGAAACAAAAGGUCGAAGAGACAGAAGACAGAAGAUGCUCGAAGACACUCUCGCAAGGACACCGCCCGCCCCCCAAAAAAGGUCAUUGUCAGGGUAAUGGGUGUCAGGCUAGGCAUUUAAUGUCUAUCUUUGCAAUAAAAAACAGGCUACCUGUGUGCUAGGCUUUUGCAUGAAGAACACGGUUCCCCUCGUGUGUGGCAUCGAAGGUUCCCACUCGGGAACGGACGGGUCCUCCCUUUGUUCUAGGCAGAUGAUGGGGGUUUUCCUAUACAAGCCGUAGGGGCCACAGCUUGGGGGGCAGCGGGGGGCCCGGCCCUGGCACCGCGGGGAGCAGCACACCUUACGGGCAUUUUAAAAGCUCCCUUAAACUUAGACAGUGGCUAGCAAUAAAAAUAUUAAUACCUUAACUCACCUACUAACCCUACUAACACCAUUCUAACUAGGGCAGGCUGGCCUUUUAAAUAGGACUGUGUUUUGCCUGCUGGCAAGAACCAAGCUGGGAGGGAAGGGGGCCUCCUGGCCCCCCAUAGAAGGGCUCCCCUAGAAGGACAUUCAAAAUGCCCGCAAGGUGUCCUGAGAGCAGCCCCUGGGGCCCUCAGUGUGCCCCCCACGGUGCCAGGGCUGGGCCCCCCGCUCUCCCCCAACCCAUGACCCCUGCCGCCUGUAUCUCGUCCGCCCAGGGCCAACGGACGCCCCCUCCCUCCCCGGGCGGAGCUUCGGCGCCACACACAAGGGGAGGCCAGCCGUGGCCGCCAGAACAUGGCCAACCUGGUUUUGGACUGCAAACAUAGGCAUGUAGGGACCCCCUUUUAUUUAUGUAAGGCCACCCACCCAGGGGACCUGGUUAAAGGGGAUCCUCUAUUCUUAAAGUAAGGCCUAUAGAGAUCUCCUAUCCAGAAACUAAGGCGGCUUGGCCUAUAGAGAUCCCCUUUUGUUAAACUAAGGUGGCCUGGCCUAUAGAGAUCUCUUGUUGUUAAACUAAGGUGGCCUGGCCUAUAGAGAUCUCUUGUUGUUAAACUAAGGUGGCCUGGCCUAUAGAGAUCUCCUAUUCUUUAAGGUAACGUGGCCUGGCCUAUAGGGAUCUCCUUUUGUUAAACUAAGGUGGCCUGGCCUAUAGGGAUCUCUUGUUGUUAAACUAAGGUGGCCUGGCCUAUAGGGAUCUCCUUUUGUUAAACUAAGGUGGCCUGGCCUAUAGAGAUCUCUUGUUGUUAAACUAAGGUGGCCUGGCCUAUAGGGAUCUCCUUUUGUUAAACUAAGGUGGCCUGGCCUAUAGAGAUCUCUUGUUGUUACGUUUCAUGUGCCUGGACUCCCGGAGAUCUCUUGUUGUUAAACUAACUCCCAUCGGCCGAGAGGGAUCCUUCCUGUUUGGAAAGCAUCUGCUACACAGGUAAAAAGAAGAUUCCGGGAAGGAGAUUCCUACAGCGGAGCCCUAAAGCCAGGUGAGACGUUCCUUCCAACCUCCACGGCUGCUUUGCACACACACACAUGACACACACAUGACACACACACACACGCAUAUACAGCUGGGGGCCCUCAGGGACUCUCCCCCCAAUAGAUCGGGGACUCCCACUCCGGCAAUUGGCCAUUGGAAAUGCCUUGAAGCAGUUUGGGGCUUCCGGCCAAGCGCUCGCAAAGAGAACCCAUUCAAGGUAUACGUGGAGCCCCUUUUAUUUAUUAUUUAUUGACAGCAUUUCUAUUCCGCCCUUCUUUCUCACCCCAAAGGGGACUCAGGGCGGAUCACAUGACACAUAUAGGCAAACAUUCAGUGCCUUUUAACAUAGAACAAAGACAAACAAACAUAAGCUCCGAGCGGGUCUCGAACUCAUGACCUCCUGGUCAGAGUGAUUCCUUGCAGUUAUAAUUGCAGCUGGCUUCCUCUCCCGCCUGCGCCACAGCCCGGGCCAACCUUGAUAAAAAGGGCCUGGCACGUGGAAAACUCUAUUUGUAAGGCAAACCCUCGUUAAAGGAGGUUUGCAAUUAAUUUAAAACCAGGCUUCUGAGGGACCCGCUGCGUUUAAAGCCAAACCUAGCAGGUGGGAACCUCUCUUGUUGGAUAAAGGAGAUCCCCUCUGGUUAACGUAAGGGGAGGGACCCUCCAUUUUUAAUAGGAUGCCUGGCAGAAUCUUAACCUCAAUGCAGGCCUAUGGGGGUCCAGCCUUAUUCUCAAUGACUGCAUAGCCAGGCAUGAAGGGACCCCAUAUUAUUAAUUUGAAGCCUGGUAAAAAGAGAUUUAUGUAUUUAUUUAUUUACUACAUUUAUACCCGCCCCUCUUUUCCUUAGGGGGACUCAGAGCGGCUUACAAGUUAUAUGAUAUACACUAUCUCAUUAGCAUAGCACAAU